GACGGGGGGGCAAGUGUUCUUCGGAAUGACUGGGCGUAAAGGGCACGUAGGCGGUGAAUCGGGUUGAAAGUGAAAGUCGCCAAAAAGUGGCGGAAUGCUCUCGAAACCAAUUCACUUGAGUGAGACAGAGGAGAGUGGAAUUUCGUGUGUAGGGGUGAAAUCCGUAAAUAUACGAAGGAACGCCAAAAGCGAAGGCAGCUCUCUGGGUCCCUACCGACGCUGGGGUGCGAAAGCAUGGGGGAGCGAACAGG
rnacentral:rRNA from 1 species